rnacentral:rRNA from 1 species
UACGGAAGGCAGCAGUGGGGAAUAUUGCACAAUGGGCGAAAGCCUGAUGCAGCUAUGCCGCGUGUAUGAAGAAGGCCUUAGGGUUGUAAAGUACUUUCAUCGGGGAGGAAAAAACAAAACUAAUAAUUUUAUUUCUUGACGUUACCCGAAAAAGAAGCACCGGCUAACUCCGUGCCAGCGGCCGCGGUAAUACGGAGGGUGCUAGCGUUAAUCAGAAUUACUGGGCGUAAAGAGCACGUAGGUGGUUUUUUUAAGUCAGAUGUGAAAUCCCUGGGCUUAACCUGGAACUGCAUUUUGAAACUGAAAUACUAGAGUAUCGUAGAGGGAGGUAGAAUUCUAGGUGUAGCGGUGAAAUGCGUAGAUAUCUGGAGGAAUACCUGUGGCGAAAGCGGCCUCCUAAACGAAUACUGACACUGAGGGUGCGAAAGCGUGGGGAGCAAACAGGGAUUAGAUACC